GCUUGGUCAAACAACGGCUGGUCAGUUGAACAUUUUCCGUUGACGAGGAAAGAAGCACACGGUGAAGAGUCUCCUGACAAGGGAAUCAAGUGAUUUGAGAACUGCAAUUAGACGCUUGUCAUCUCGUGCAUAUUACUUUCCGGAGAGAGAGAAGACACUUGAGCUAGAACUUUGGGAUUCGGUGGAAGAUGAAUUUGUCCUUUGCUGGCUGUGGCUUCCUGGGAAUUUAUCACAUUGGUGUGGCUAUUUGUUUCAAACAGUAUGCGCCUCAUCUGCUGCUCGACAAAAUCAGUGGUGCUUCUGCUGGCUCUCUAGCUGCCGUUGGAUUACUAUGCGACCUGCCGCUCACCGAGAUGACCUCAGAGAUGCUGAGGAUCUCAAUGGUGGCGCGAUCGCACAAGCUCGGCCCCUUCAGUCCGCGCUUCAACAUCAACAACAUCCUGCUGGAGGGUCUGCACAAAUUCCUGCCCGAGGACGCCCACCUGAGAGUGAAUGGACGCCUUCAUGUGUCCCUGACGCGCGUAUGUGAUGGCCAAAAUGUGAUCGUGUCCCACUUCAGCAGCCGCGAGGAGCUCUUCCAGGCCCUCCUGUGCGCCUGCUUCAUCCCCGUGUUCUCGGGCUUCCUGCCGCCGCGUUUCCAUGGCGUGCGCUACAUGGACGGCGGCUUCUCCGACAAUCUGCCCACCAUCAAUGAGAACACCAUUACAGUCAGUCCCUUCUGUGGUGAAAGUGAUAUUUGUCCCAGGGACAAGAGCUCGCAGCUCUUCCACAUCAACUUCGCCAAUACGAGUAUAGAAUUGUCGCGAGCGAACAUGAAUCGCUUCUCCUACAUCCUAAUGCCACCCAAGGCGGAGAUCCUGUCCAAUAUUUGUCAGCAGGGCUUCGACGACGCCCUGCGCUUCCUGCAGCGCAACAAUCUCAUCAACUGCAACCGAUGCAUCUCGGUGCAGACGCAGAUCACGGUUAAGGACACGCAGGAGUACAUGAUGGAGGACUACGAUCCUGAGUGCAAGGACUGCACGGAGCACAGGAAGCAUGCUUCCAGGGCGAACCUGCCGGACACGGUGGUACACGUGCUCCAGUCGGCGAUCGAUUCGGCCAACAAGGGUAUCGUGUCGUGGCUAUUCAAGCACAAACUGCCCACAAUGCUGCGAAAGAUCACAUCCUUCCUGCCUUCUGUGUUGCCCUCCUCACUCACAAAACUGAGGAGAAGACUACUAACACACACUCGCCUCGAGAAGCUCCUCAUCGACCUGCCUCACAAAUGGGGAUUUCUUUACCGUUUCCUUGCAGAGAAGUCUACUGGGAUGAUGAGGAUCUUGAAGAAACUCCGCCGGAGAUUCAGAUUGAAAAGACCAUAUAGGAUCGCGAGAGCUCUCCUCCACUUAACCGGCCAAAUGACAUUAAUAUAAGUUAAUGCGAUAAGAUGAGAAAGACUUGAAAAUAUUUUUUAAUCAACUCAUGUGACAUUUCCAAGAAGAUCAACACAUUUUCACGAUAAUUCUUUUUCUAUUCUUGUACAUGACCAAGGUAUUCGAGGUGGAAAUCAUUUUUAUAGACAAUUUUCUUAAGAAUCUUCUGACUAUGAGAUUUUACAAGUCAUUGAAAGUGACACAAGUUCAAUGAUCCUGUAUUAUAAUGUAUUAGACUGAAAUAAAUGAAAUACAGAAAAAAGAGUGUAAUCUUGGAGAAAUUUGUGCGUGGGUCAAUGUCAA